rnacentral:rRNA from 1 species
UACGUAGGGAGCAAGCGUUGUCCGGAAUCAUUGGGCGUAAAGCGCGCGUAGGCGGCCCCGUAAGUCCGUUGUGAAAGUCAAAGGCUCAACCUUUGAAAGCCGAUGGAUACUGUGGGGCUAGAGUCCGGAAGAGGCGAGUGGAAUUCCUGGUGUAGCGGUGGAAUGCGCAGAUAUCAGGAGGAACACCAAUAGCGAAGGCAGCUCGCUGGGACGGUACUGACGCUAAGGCGCGAAAGCGUGGGGAGCGAACAGG